AAAGAGUAUUGGGGCGUGGAGAUAUAAUAGACACAAAACUAAGUGUCUGGGUUCGAGCAAAGAGAAGAAGAAGAGGGUCUUCUUCUAGGGUUGCUGAGUUCACCUAUUUUCUUCCUCCAUCUGUGAGUUCUCUGAGAGUGUCUCAUAUCUAAAACUUCUUCUCCUACUUCUCAUCUUUGGAAGAGUCCAAAUCAAGAAGAAAGAGGCAUCUGAUCGACCAUCGAAGAAGGAUCAGCACAGUACUAGCAUACUAUGCUGAUUUCCUGGAUCAGGACUUCU
rnacentral:lncRNA from 1 species